rnacentral:rRNA from 1 species
AGAGUUUGAUCAUGGCUCAGGACGAACGCUGGCGGCGUGCCUAAUACAUGCAAGUAGAACGCUGACUACUUUAGCUUGCUAGAGUAGAAGGAGUUGCGAACGGGUGAGUAACGCGUAGGUAACCUGCCUACUAGCGGGGGAUAACUAUUGGAAACGAUAGCUAAUACCGCAUAACAGUGUUUAACACAUGUUAGAUGCUUGAAAGAUGCAAAUGCAUCACUAGUAGAUGGACCUGCGUUGUAUUAGCUAGUUGGUGGGGUAACGGCCUACCAAGGCGACGAUACAUAGCCGACCUGAGAGGGUGAUCGGCCACACUGGGACCGAGACACGGCCCAGACUCCUACGGGAGGCAGCAGUAGGGAAUCUUCGGCAAUGGGGGCAACCCUGACCGAGCAACGCCGCGUGAGUGAAGAAGGUUUUCGGAUCGUAAAGCUCUGUUGUAAGAGAAGAACGUGUGUGAGAGUGGAAAGUUCACACAGUGACGGUAACUUACCAGAAAGGGACGGCUAACUACGUGCCAGCAGCCGCGGUAAUACGUAGGUCCCGAGCGUUGUCCGGAUUUAUUGGGCGUAAAGCGAGCGCAGGCGGUUUAAUAAGUCUGAAGUUAAAGGCAGUGGCUUAACCAUUGUUCGCUUUGGAAACUGUUAAACUUGAGUGCAGAAGGGGAGAGUGGAAUUCCAUGUGUAGCGGUGAAAUGCGUAGAUAUAUGGAGGAACACCGGUGGCGAAAGCGGCUCUCUGGUCUGUAACUGACGCUGAGGCUCGAAAGCGUGGGGAGCAGACAGGAUUAGAUACCCUGGUAGUCCACGCCGUAAACGAUGAGUGCUAGGUGUUAGGCCCUUUCCGGGGCUUAGUGCCGCAGCU